rnacentral:rRNA from 1 species
CAGGUCACUCCUACGGGAGGCAGCAGUGGGGAAUCUUGCACAAUGGGGGAAACCCUGAUGCAGCGACGCCGCGUGAGCGAUGAAGCCCUUCGGGGUGUAAAGCUCUUUCGGCAGGGACGAUAAUGACGGUACCUGCAGAAGCAGCUGCGGCUAACUACGUGCCAGCAGCCGCGGUAAUACGUAGGGUGCGAGCGUUAUCCGGAAUUACUGGGCGUAAAGCGUGCGCAGGCGGUGAUGUAAGACAGAUGUGAAAUCCCCGGGCUUAACCUGGGAACUGCAUUUGUGACUGCAUCACUAGAGUGCGGCAGAGGGGGAUGGAACUCCGAGUGUAGAGGUGAAAUUCGUAGAUAUUCGGAAGAACACCAGUGGCGAAGGCGGCUCACUGGCCCGGUACUGACGCUGAGAUACGAAAGCGUGGGGAGCAAACAGGAUUAGAUACCCUGGUAGUCCACGCCGUAAACGAUGAGUGCUUGGUGUAGCGGGUAUCGACCCCUGCUGUGCCCAAAUCAACACAUUAAGCACUCCGCCCGGGGAGUACGGUCGCAAGGCUGAAACUUAAAGGAAUUGACG